rnacentral:lncRNA from 1 species
CUCAACAACCCUAAAUUUAAAGAAGAGUAUCUAACUAGGCUGCCCUAAGGCCAAAACACAUGGGCCUAACUAUUACACACAAAAUAGAAUCAUUUCCAACCCAAAAUAGACAACUUAAUAUUGGGCAGAUUGCAUGCAUAUAAAAUUAGCCCAAAACAACUUAAAACAAACACUAUAAACCCAUAUCCCUUACAUAGUAAUUAGACCAAAACAAGCAACAAGAAAUAAGAACACGUCCAAGCCCACAUCCCUUACAUAUUAGCAUGGCUAGAGUGUGCUACACCAACAGCACAUGUCUCCAACAUUGUAAGAAGCUUAGGUUUGCCUUCAAGUUCCACAUAACACUUGUUAAAUGCCACAUCAUGAAGCUCUUGUGUAAUUUGGGCUUGAACAUAUAAGGAUAUGGCUGCCCCAUAUCUCUUUGCUUGACUUCUUGUAAUUGGCCCACUAGAAAACACUAAUGGAUCUCCUAUGUUGUUCUCCUUGCUCCCUUGAGCUCCAUGGUUGAGUGAUGGUUGAUCCAUAUCA